rnacentral:lncRNA from 1 species
AGAGAAAAAGGAGAGGAGGAAGAUAAAGAUAUCAUAAACAACAAUAGAAUGCCGCAACAAAAAGAAGAGAAGAGGUGUCGCAAGCGAGAAAAAGAAGAUGGUCGCGAGAGAAAAAGGAGAAGAGGAAGAGGAAGACGAUAUCAGAAACUGAAUGCCGCGAAGAGUUUGCAGUUUAUUUAAAAUGAAAUUGGGCGUCGGUUUCUCC